rnacentral:tRNA from 1 species
GGAUGUUCGGUGAAGUUGGAGAGUCACAGUGGGCUGUAACCCCAUGUACCCAAAAGGUACAAUAGGUUCGAAUCCUAUAACAUCCACCA